UACAGAGGGUGCAAGCGUUGUUCGGAAUUAUUGGGCGUAAAGGGCGCGUAGGCGGUGCGGUAAGUCCGCAGUGAAAUCUCUGGGCUCAACUCAGAGUCUGCUGUGGAAACUGCCGUGCUUGAGUGUGGGAGAGGUGAGUGGAAUUCCCGGUGUAGCGGUGAAAUGCGUAGAUAUCGGGAAGGAACACCUGUGGCGAAAGCGGCUCACUGGACCACAACUGACGCUGAUGGCGCGAAAGCUAGGGGAGCAAACAGG
rnacentral:rRNA from 1 species